ensembl:lncRNA
GUAUGGCCUUGGAGGAACUGCAUUACUGUGGGGGUCUGGUUUUGAGGUUUCCUAUGCUCAGGACAUACUGCCGAGUGUCUCAGUCUAUUUCUUGUUGCCUGCAAGAUGUAGUACUCUCAGCUCCUUCUCCAGUACCAUGUCUGCUUGCAUGCCCCCAUGUCCCACCAUGAUGAUAAUGGACUGAACCUCUGAACUGUAAGAUUCCAGCGUGGGCAGAGAGACAGAUGAGGGAGGGAAUUCACUUGAGCAUCUGGGUCUCAAGUUCAGACACUGACCUUGAACUUGCUAAGAAGCUGACAGUGACCUGGAAUUCCUGAUCCCUUUGCUUCUAGAGUGUUGGCAUCACAGCUAUGUACCACCACACCUGGUUUAAGUGGUACUAGAGAUGGAACCCAGGGUUUCCUGCUCACUAGUUCAACUCUCUACCAACUGAACUACAUCCCAGCCCCCUAAUUCUAGUUUUGACAUUAAGACUUUAAAUUCAAGCUGGGCACAGUGACACACACACACACACACACCUUUAAUCCAACACUGAUGAGGCAGAAGCAGGUGGAUCUCUAUAAAUUCAAGGCCACCCUGGUCUCCAUAAAGAUUUCCAGGCCAGGCCAGCUGGAGCCACACCUUGUCAAAAAAAAUAACAAGCCCGUGACUUAUCUUUUCAAAACCAGGCUGUCACAAGGUGAGUAGAUGAUUAGGAGAGCCACAUGAACCUCUUUCUCUGCGUCCAGGUCCAGGCCAGCUUGGGUCACAGCUAGCCUGUGACCUGGAAGUCUAGCAGAGCAGAACAGAAGCUUGCAGCCCACCCACCUGAGGCAUCUCACUGGGCCUCUGCUGAGAAUGUGUGUGUGUGAGCCCCUGUCCUUCUCAGAACAGCUGAGAAAUACAUCCCUGACCUUCAGAGACCCACACACCCCUGGAUUUCCACUUUAGUCCAAGUGAGGCAACAGAGCCAAGUAUUGGAAGUAAACCAAAAAAGAUAAAACGAUUCUAGAGGAGCAGGCAGGAGAACUGCCAUUUAAGAGGCAUAUGGAAUUCAUGUCUCUGAGAAAGAAAAAUUAAGGAGAGAAAAUAAACACAACCCAAGACUGAAAAGGACCAGAGGUGGAGAAGGGCCAUUGGGAAAGGAAGUAGAUAUGGAUUCUGAUCUGGGAGGGGCGUCCAUGUAUGGUCACAGAAGUGAGUCAUCAUCUGGCUCUCGGUGGCAGAAGAACCAUUGCCAACAUUGGGAAACAGUUGCUAGGAAAUAUGUCAAAAAUCUGACUCAUGGACACCACCUAACGAUGCCUUCUUGGCAGAUACUGCACUCUUGGAGGCUCACACUGCUUGCUACUGAAGGGACCAGCUCCCCAUUUCCGCUGCCAUAACAGCCCUACACGCACUUGCCUGACCUUGUCUUGGUCACUAAGGUCAGAUGCCUGCCCCUUUCCGAAGCCAUAACAGCUGAACACGUGCUUGUCUGACCUUGUCUUAGUCACUAAGAGGUCAGACACCUGCCUCGUGGCAAGGAACCAAUCAGAAGUUAGCUGGUGGUGCUAUGCUUUACAGCUCUGGGUGUGCUUUACAGACAAGUGCACAGCAAUGACGUGCAGGGCAUAGCAACCACCCUGGGAGGGCCUAUGGGCCAUAACAACCAAGUGGCCAAUCAACACAGGGCAAACCCUCCAAGCCUGGAGGCACACCAAUCCUGAGCCUGUGCGUACCCCUAGACACUCCCCUUACACUACCCUAUAAGAUCUCUA